CCGGUGGCGUGACGUCACCUCGCCGCGCUCUGAUUGGAGGAUGGCUCCGGGCGGGAGCUCGGGGGUAAACAAAGCGGUGUCGUCUCUUCUCCGCAGCCAUUGCGAAAGGCCUUUUCUGUGGCUCUCAGAAAUCCACUGCUACUGCUUGAACGAGGACGCGGCAUACGGAAAAAAGAGACCGGAAAUACCUCGAAAUGUACGUUACUUCGUUUGACGCGAAAGAAUUUACCCUGGGAGCAUACGAAGCACCAAUAUGCGUCCCGGUCUCCGGCGGUCGGAUGUUGAUGUGAGUCCCCCCAACGUCAGCACGGUGAUGUGCGACGCGAGUGAGCCUUUCUACUUUUUGGCGGAGACCCCAUUUCGCCAGCAAGUGUCUCGGUGUCUCCGUGAAGCACCGAAGUGUAGCUACAGCCCUCUUCGGCGAGCUGAACGGGCUGCCGAGCUUUCGAAGGCCGAUCUCCCGCAGCGCUGGCACCCGGAGAACCGCCCCAUGGCGCUCGCUAAGAAUCCACCGGCUGCCGGGCUCGGAGGAGAUGUUGCAGGCCUCGUGUAAUGCCCUCGGCACCUGUGCGACUUCCAGGGGGUCUGCGUUUCACGGCCCCGUUACCAGCUGGGAAGUUCUCCAUAGAGGGGACGACAUCCUGUCCAGCACCAGCUUCACCGUCUGGGACCAAGUGCACGAGGGGGUCGCACUGCAAGCACAUGAAAGAAGGGCACUGCGACUUUGAGGUCAAGCUUGUACAUCUACCAUUACAGAGUCCUAAAUGGAUGCCAAUUGCUACUGAUGACCUUAUGAAGGUGAAACGUCCCUGGAUUAAAGGGAAAAUCUGAUUGAAGGCGAGCUGAAGUUGUUUCUGACUUUAUUCUCUUAUGACUUGAAAGUAAUCUGCCUACUUCAUGAACUUUGAAGAUGCAAAAUUUGUUUCCGUAACUGUCCCACUUCAACGUAAUGUGCACAUUGAAACCUAUUCCUUUUCUUUUUCUGUUUUUUGGCAAGAAAAAAAAGCCAACGAAUCUCCCUCUUCCUUUUCGCAAUGGGGAGGUGUGGAAGAUUGAUUGGAUAUUUUAUAUACGCAACCAGUUUCAUAAGUGAAUGAAGAUAAAAGCAGAAUACAUGUUCACAGAUUAUUUGUGAAUCCUUAGACUUGGUGAAGUGAGUAGUUUAUGUUCGAGUCAUGUAAUUAUAAAGUCAAAACCAGCUUUAGUGCAUUUUUAAGAAGCCUUUUAGACCCGAGAGUUCUGCUUUGACUCGGCAAUACACGACUCUCCUUUGUUAUUCCUAUAGCACAGCCGAAACUAUAAACACGAGCAUGUUGCCUGACCAAUGCUUGAACUGCCGUGAAAUCGACGAAGUCCCUAUCCUUCGAGAACAAGUGUCAACGGGGAUAGUCGAAAGACCAGGGUAUUUAUUGCACACGCAUACUUGAUUUCAAGCUUGCAGAUUGAAGUAAUUGUUUAAUGAAUCCAUUCUUAAACCUGUUUGAGAUUGUAUUGGUUCAUAUUCACAGUAUAUUUAUUUUUAAUUACAGCAAGGAAUAAUUUAGAGACAGAUGUUGGUGUUCAGGCGUGAUGCUUUUAUUUUCGUAACAUGCAAGAGUGCAAAAAAUUAGACUUGGCUUUGUAAGCUAAUCUUUUUAUGUAUUCUUCCAAACAGCAUAGCAAGCAAUAAUAUAAGGGCUACAGCUGCAAAAGUGGCUACACCUGGCAUCUCAUUUGUUUUAUAGCGUGUACAGGUGAGACACUAUACUCCGUUUCACGGUCACUUGGCAAACAUUGUGACCCAAUAAGAGCAUCGGAGCCAGGCACAUGACAACAUUCCACGGUCGAGUCCUCGUUAUCGCCACAGCACGAGCGCCAUCUGCGACAAAACAUAGUUCUAGGCUUUUUUUUUUUUUUCUCUUCUUCUUUUAGUAGUGUUGCCGUCGGAUUCUUCGAACCACAACACUACAUGACACUGAAGAAAGACUAAGACAUAUGUUACUUAUUAACGACACUUAAUAUAUAUCAACACCUUUGAGAAAAACAUGGCUUGUGAUCGACGUUCAAACAAUUGUAGCCGUGAAUCGACCACUUCCGCUCUAAACAUCGCCCUAGCAUUAGCACCCGCCACAGAUUCAUGGGCAAAUUGAGCAUGUGGUUGCCUCAUAAAAGUGUUACUGAAGACCUCGCUACUCUAGCGGACGGUAAAGGCCGGUUCUCACAUGCAGCGAAGCGCUCCUCACGUGCCGUCAGCUACUUAUUGUCUGCCAUGAGCAACAGUUUCGACGGUGCGAUACAAAGCUGGUGAACGCUCCCGUCAUCACGCGCUUAGCGCGAGGUCAGCGCUAUGCUUGUAGCGCUCCGCUGCAUGUGUGAACAGGCCUUAAUGUUGCUGCAGUGGACGUCCAUCCGAAUUCGUUUGGUUUCUGAGCAUUUGACAGCCGGUUCUGGUGGGUGGUCCUUACAUUUGGCGCGGUGACACGGACGCUCCUGUGACAUGCUGCCAUGUGCCUCGCUCCGACAUUCUUACUGGGUCGCAGGAGCCGUAGCCUCCACGGUUCACCAAGCUAUCGUGAAACAGAGUGUAGACUAAGUUGUCUGCUAAUGAAAGUAGCGUUGCCAGCAUCAUGUAUUAUGUAUGAAACAGUGUUUACUUCGAGAAAACAAAUAAAGCCAUUCAUCCUUUCCA
rnacentral:lncRNA from 1 species